rnacentral:sRNA from 1 species
AAAUAGUAUCUGACAAUUAUUAAAACAAGUAAGAGAUUAAUUUUUCUAUGCAAGUCGGAUAACGAUAUAUAAUAUCCAUGUUCUACGUGACCUAUAGUCAUCCAUACUCAAACUAAUUCACUUCUUUCCUAGCUAAGGACCUAAACAUAUAUUGAAAUAAAAUAUAUCAAUGUAAUUAAUUUAAAAUUAUUUUAAAUUUUUGUUAUUUUAUAGCUUUUAGUUAGGUUUAAUCAUUCGAGAGUUCGUUGGGAAUCUCAAAUGUCAAAUUGACGACUCGUCCAAAGGCAUAUGGAGAUCGUGCUUGAAAGGAUGAAACAUGCAAGGAGCUAAACAACUUGGAGAAAUAGCGGAAGAAUGGGUGAAGCAGUGGCUAUAUGCGGUGUAGUGUUUGGGAAGCAGUGGAAGAUUGGGUGAAGCGGUGGUUGGAUGCGGUAUAGUGUUUUGGAAACACUGGAAGCUAUGCAUCUCAUGGAGGCAGUAGAAAUGAUGGCAGAAACAACGGAAGUAUGUGGAAGUUAAUGAAGGCAAUCGAUGAAGGAAUGAUGUGAAGUGCUUGAGGAGAUAUGGCUCUAGCUUAGGCGGUCAUCCAUCAAAGGAAGGAAGCUAGAGGGAGUUUGUGAUAAGCACAACAAGGUGACCUUUGAACAGAGAAGUCUGAACAUGAUUCAGCAACAAUUCUCUAUAUUCAUUUAAAAGUGUUUUACAAAUGAAGCAUAUACAACAGCAGCUGAUGAUCAACCGCAAACCAUGGAUCAAAGGCGAUGUAUUCAACACGUGGAGCAUGUUGUAGAUGAGUCUAGAAGGCCAGUUGGCGAGUUGGAGCGUGCUGCUUGCUAGAUGCUUCCCGCGGACGAAGAGUGGCAGGGGAUUAGGCUAAGCGUGGCCCAAUCCGGAAGUCAACAUCUUUAAGGCUCCAAUUGAGAUAUUUCUUCAAAGUGGGUGGCUUGGACAUUUCUUCUAGGUCCUCUUGAAUUAAGGGUCCGUGUUGAGUCACGAGGUAUCCAUCACGUAGUCAUUGAGUUGUGGGAACUUCUUUCGGUGGAAUCGUGAGUCGCGAGGUAUCCAUCACGUGGUCACUGGAGCUGAAUUGCAACGAAG